CUCAUUAUUGUUUCUUCACGUUCCAUUUUUGUCGAUUCCAGUUCCCAUAAAACUCAACCUCCCCUAUAUGCAAAUCACUAUUGCUGCUAUUCUUCUCCCCUAAAUGAGUAUCCUUCACGAGAUCUAUCUCAAUUCAGCUCCCUCUAUUGUUUAGCCUCCAUUGAUUGUAUAGAAAAAUCAGGCACACCCCCUUCGAGACGUAGGGAGAGGUUCGGACUGGUGAAUUCAGUGUUCUCAUCUUAAAAAUAAUUAAACGGAGGGUUAUUGUUGGUGGCUUUGGAGUGCUCGGGGACUAUUUCAACAUCAAACCAAACCAGAUAAGCUACGAAUUCUACGAUGCGUGCACGAGGUAUUCGCGGACGGGGUACUGGAGGACAAGGUAGAGGCCGUAGAGGGGUCGAGCUGAGUCUUCGUCGUUAAGCAGCAUACCGAAUCUGAAUACAAGUGAGACGUCGGUUUCACCUGCUACAGAGACUGGGUCUAAUGAUCGCAUGGCCGAGGACAACGUCUUGUCCCAGGCUAUGCUGAGGAUAUUAGAGAGGGUCGCUGGGCCCAACACUGGAUUAGAGGGUCGAGGGUCGGUUACGGAACGACUCUGGUCUAAUGGGGCUGAGUUAUUCAGGGUGUCACUAGAGUCGCCCCUAGCGUGGCUGAGUGCUGGGUGAAGGCCAUGUAAAGAAUCAUGGACGAUCUGGACUUUACCCCUGAACAAAAAUUGAAAGGGUCUGUUUCAUUGCUUCGCGAUUAAGCAUACCAAUAGUGGCUGACUGUUAAGGGGCACACAGCCCGAACGUCUGACUUGGGGUUUCUAUAAGUUUGUUUUUCAAGCUAAAUAUGUGGGGGUAAGCUACAUUGACGCUAGAAGACGUGAGUUUCUAAAUCUCACGCAAGGGGAUCGUUCAGUGGCCGAGUAUGAGGCCGAGUUUUUAAGAAUGAGCCGCUAUGCGCGAAGAAUGGUGGUGACUGAAUUUGAGCAUUGUGUUCGCUUCGAGGAUGGACUCAAUGAUAGUUUGAGAGUUCUGAUAGCUCUGCAGAAAGAGCGUGGCUGUUCAACACUGGUAGAGAAGAUGAAGAUCGUUGGGGAGAUGAAGUACGCUGAGCGCCAAAAUCAGGAUAAGGAGAGAGGCAAAUAUAAAAGGGAUUCAGAGCCCUCGAGUUUCAUGAUGAAGACUAAGAAAAACGCCAUCUGGGCGAAUGUUAGAGGACGAUUGGAGCUUGUUUAAGAUGUGGGUCUACUAAGCAUCAUGUUCGAGAGUGUCCGUUGAGGGCCGAUUAGGUGGAAGCUGCAGAUUCUGGUACUGCACAGCCACCGGGGGUAGUUCAGUCGCCGCCUAGGGGUCGUGGUCAGGUUAGGCGUGGUAAUGGUAUGGGUCGAAGGCAAAGAGCAUCGUGCAGAGGUGUUGGACAGGCUGUGGCGAGAGGAUAGAGAUGCUCCGGACGUCAUCACGGGUACGUUUCUUAUUUUUGAUGUGCCUUACACUACGUUGAUAGAUAUAGGAUCUACGCAUUCCAAUGUUAACAUAGGAAUUCCUAUGUUACCUGUUCUAGUGAGGUGGCUGUGCUGAGCCCGCUGGGGCAAUAUGUUAGAGUUAGCAAACUGUACAGAGAUGUUUCUUUAGAGGUUCAAUGGAUGGUAUUUCUGGCUGAUUUGAUAGAUUUUACGUUUAAGGAGUUCGAUAUGAUAUUGGGGAUGGACUGGUUGGUAAAGCAUCGUGUCAGUUUGGACUGUACAACUAAGAGAGUCGUAUUGAGAACUAAAGGGGGUAAUGAAGUAGUUGUGAUUGGGGAACAUCAGAAUUACUUGGCUAACGUGAUCUCUACACGGGUAGUUGAGAAACUAGUUCGCAAAGGAUGUGAGGCAUAUUUGGCCUACGUAAGUGUUUCCGUUUCUGGGGACUCUACUGUUAAGGACAUCAGAACUAUGAAAGACUUUCCAGACGUCUUUCCUGAUGAGCUAUCGGGUUUACCUCUGAAUCGAGAAGUGGAGUUUGGGAUUGAACUUCUCCCUGGUAUAGCUUCGGUGUCUAUCACUCCCUAUCGAAUGGCACCGAAGGAGCUUACGGAGCUCAAGGCUCAAAUUUAGGAGUUAUUGGAUCAUGGGUUCAUCCGCCCUAGUGUAUCCCUGUGGGGAGCAUUGGUACUGUUUUUUAAGAAAAACGAUGGAUCCAUGAGGAUAUGUAUUGACCACCGAUAAUUAAAUAAGUUGACUAUUAAGAAUAAGUAUCCACUUCCGAGGAUUGAUGAUUUGUUUGAUCAGUUUUGAGGGGCGUCUGUGUUCUCCAAAUUUUACUUACGUUUUGGGUAUCAUCAGUUGAGGGUUAAGAAGGCUAAUGUCCAUAAGACAGCAUUUAGGACUCGUUCUGGUCACUACGAGUUCCUAGUGAUGCCAUUUGGACUGACUAAUGCAUCGGUAACUUUCAUGGAUUUGAUGAACCGAGUGUUUUAGCCUUACCUGGAUCAGUUUGUAGUGGUGUUCAUCAAUGACAUAUUGGUUUAUUCGACGACUGAGGAUGAGCAUGACGAGUACCUUAGGAUUGUUUUUCAGAUUUUGAGGGAAAAGUAGAUUUAUGCUAAGUUCAGCAAGUACGAGUUCUGGUUACGUGAAGUAACAUUUUUGGGUCAUGUGGUGUCUGCUGAGGGGAUUUGAGUCGAUCCUUGAAAAAUUGAGGCUAUAUUGGACUAAAAGCAGCCCAAGAAUGUGUUUGAGGUUCGCAACUUUUUGGGGUUGGUAGGUUAUUACCAACGAUUUGUGGAAGGAUUUUCAUUGAUCACAGCACCCUUAACUAAGUUGUUACGUAAAGAUGUACCGUUUGACUGGACUAAUGCGUAGCAAUAGAGCUUUGAGAAGCUUAAGACUGUACUGACUGAGGCACAUGUUUUGGUACAGCCUGAACCUAGAAAGAAGUUCACGAUUUAUAGUGAUGCAUCACAUAUCAGUUUGGGAUGUGUGUUGAUGAAUGAUGGUAAGGUGGUUGCAUAUGCGUCUCCUCAGCUUAAGACACACAAGGCGAACUAUCCGACGCACAAUUUGGAGUUGGCCGCUGUAGUCUUUGUAUUAAAAAUCUGGAGGCAUUAUCUGUAUGGUGAAAAGUGUAUUGUCUACACUGAUCAUAAAAGCCUCAAGUAUCUCCUCACUCAGAAGGAGUUAAAUCUUAGGCAGCGUAGAUGGGUUGAGUUGCUUAAGGAUUAUGAUUGUACUAUUGAGUACCAUUUCGGUAAGGCCAAUGUGGUGGCUGAUGCGAUGAGCCGUAGGGCUAUGACCGAUCUGAGAGUGAUGUUCUCUCGACUUAGCCUAUUCGAUGAUGGCAGUCUGUUUACAGAACUUUAGGUCAAACCAACAUGGAUUGAACAGAUUCGAGGUAAACAAUUGGGGGAUAAGUCUCUCAGGUUACGUUUUCGUUAGGUUUAGAAUGGUGGCACUACUGAUUUUGAAAUAAAUAAUGAUGGGGUACUUUGUUUCCACGGUCAGAUUUGUGUACUGAAUGAUGAGGAUUUAAGGUAGUCGAUUCUGAGAGAGGCGCAUAGUAGUCCCUAUACUAUGCAUCCCGGCAGGAACAAGAUGUAUCGAAAUCUUCGGGAAUUGUACUGGUGGCCAGGGUUGAAGUGUGAGGUUACCGACUUAGUUGCUCGUUGUUUAACUUGUCAGUAGGUUAAGGCUGAGCACCGUUAGCUUCGGGUUUGCUGCAACCGAUUAAGAUACCGUUAUGGAAAUGGGAGAGAGUAACGAUGGACUUCGUUAGUGGGUUACCUCUAACUCCCACUAAAAAGGAUUCUGUUUGGGUCAUCGUGGAUUGAUUGACCAAGUCUGCUCACUUUAUCCCUGUAAGGACAGAAUUUUCUCUUCAGAAAUUAGCUAAGUUCUACGUAUCAGAAAUAGUGAGACUGCAUGGGGUACCUGUCUCGAUCAUUUCCGAUCGGGAUCCUAAUUUCACAUCUUGGUUUUGGAAGAAGCUUCAUGAGGCUCUGGGUUCAAGAUUAGACUUUAGUACUGCUUUUCAUCCUCAGACAGAUGGUCAGUCGAAGAGGGUGAUUCAGAUACUAGAGGACAUGUUGAGGAACUGUGUUAUUGAUUUCUGAGGCAGUUGGGAUGAGUACUUGUCGUUAGCGGAGUUUGCCUACAAUAAUAGCUUCCAGUUUAGCAUCCAGAUGGCACCUUACGAGGCACUGUACGAUCGUAAGUGUUGCACUCUUUUAUGUUAAACUGGGUCCUGAGUUGGUCUCUGAGACAGAGGAUAAGGUUAGAUUGAUUCGAGAUCGUUUGAAAGUGGCUUAUGAUAGGAAUAAAUCGUAUAUAGAUUUGAAGAGGCACGAGAUCGAGUAUUCUAUGGGGGACUUAGUUUUUCUCAAUUUCUCGCCAUGGAAAAAGGUUCUGAUGUUCGAUCGCAAGGGCAAGCUGAGCCCUCGGUUUAUUGGACCUUACCACAUUCUGAAAUGUGUGGGACCUGUCGCUUAUCAGUUGGAUUUACUUCUAGAGUUGGAUCGUAUUCAUGAUGUUUUUCACGUCUCCAUGUUGAGGCGCUACCGCUCUGAUCCCACGGAUGUUUCUGUUGAAGAGAUUAAGGUUAGGCCAGACUUGACUUUCGAGGAGGAGCCGGUUCAAAUUCUAGAGCGUGAUGUAAAGGUCCUUCAAAAAAAGUCUAUUCCCUUAGUGAAGGUUCUGUGGCGUAAUCAUAGCACUAAGGAGGCCACGUGGGAGCCUGAGGAUGCAAUGCGUCAGCAAUAUCCUUAUCUGUUCUGAUCAGGGGGAGGCUUGGACUGGUGAAUUAAGUGUUCUCGUCUUAACAAUAGUUAAAUGAAGGGUUAUCCUUGGUGAGGUUUUGGAGUGCUCGGGGACUAUUUUAGCAUCAAACAAAACCAGGUAAUCUCCAGACUUAACCGGUCGGUGCAGCGGAGGACUCGACGAUGGCCACACGUAAAUUUUAGACUGUUUUCUGUUAAUGCCUAGAAUUUAUUACUUAUUUGGGGUUUUUGAUGUAUCUUUUGGACUAUGGAUUGGUUAGCUUUAAAUUUAGGACUUUAUACUGUUUUUAUGGAUUUUUUUUAAAACAGCAACUCCACAAAACACGAUUUUUUCUAAAAACUAACGGUAUGUUUGGUUGGGGGAAUCGGUAUGCAUUCCCCCUAUUCCCUGGGCCCACCACCAAACGGGCGUUUGGUUGGGUGUAAUGUUAUUACACCCCGAUUCCCUUUCGCCCCUAUUACCCAUAUUGGUUGUAAUAGCCAUUCUAAUGUUUAAGCGCCGAUUAGGGGUUCCCCCCAAUUCUGAAUUUUCUUUUCCAUUUUCUGCCCUCAUCCUCUCCGACGUUUCCCUUCCAUAUUGCAAGGACAAACAGGCUAGCAUUCCAGUCCUGUUAACCAGUGACAUUGCAUGUAAGAAGGUCCUGCCUUUUCUCGUCCACACUAUAAAAGACGUGUGUUAUUGUUUCCUAUUGAAGCAGCUUGUUUGAUUGCUUCCUCCACCCACAGUUGAGCAUCUUGUAUUCACACAAUCACUAUAAUUAUGUCAGGUGUUUCAGAAUCAAAUGUUUCUUCCCAAGCUUCUUGAGGAACCAAAAGGAAAUGGGUUUCAGAAGAAGAUGCAACAUUGGUUUCCUGUAUGAUGGACUUGCACAAUGUUGGAACCUUUAAUGCUAAUAAGGGGUUCAAAGCCGGUUAUUUAAACGAGUUGGAAAAAAUGUUAGAAAAGGCUUUACCCAAUACAAUGUUGAAGGCUAGACCUAAUAUUGCAUCAGGGAUUAGGUUACUAAAAAGGGAUUGGUCAAUCGUGUAUGACAUGCUUAAUGGCCAAAACAAUAGCGGUUUUGGUUGGGAUGAGUAUAGGCAGCUCGUUGUUGCUGAAGAUGCGGUUUGGAACUCUUAUUUAGAUAGUCAUAAAGAAGCCGGUCAAUUCAAACAUCGUAGUUUCCCUUACUACGACCAACUUACUGCCAUAUACGCAAGAGAUCGAGCGACUGGGAAAGAUGCUCAAACAGCCGCUGAUGUUAUUGAAGAAAUAAAUGUUCAGGAUGUACCUACUACAGAUAUUAAUGAAGAAAUAAACGAAUUCUACGACUGCGAAGUUGAUGUCUCUUUGGAUGACAUGGAUGUUUCUGCUACGGAACCGCAACCAGAUAGAAACCAAGGGGGUUCCACAUCUUCAAAGAAGAAAAAAAAGAAUUAUGAUGCAAGUGAUCAUUUUUCUUUUUCAUUUCAUGAUGCUGCCACUUUAUUGGCGGAAAACAUGCGGGCCAUUGGCGAACAAAUCAGUAGGAGUAUUGCCUCCGAUGUGAUAGUUCAACAAAAGUCAGAAGAAUUCCAGAUCAUCCAAGAAAAAGCAACAAAUUUAUAUCCAACCUUGUGUGAAAUAGAAUGUUUAACUGUGGAUGAGCGCUAUCGAGCAUUGAGCAAAAUUCCAGAUCAUCCAACUCAAAUGCUCGUUUUCUUUAGUUUACCUUCUGAUGUGCAGUUGGAACGGGUCAGAAGAUUUCUUGCUAACCAUUAAAAAUCAUGGUUCUGUUGAUGAUAUUUUCGUAACUUUUUCUAUUUGUAAUAUUUGGGAUGGUAUGUCAUUACAAUUUUCUAACUUUUUGAUGUUGUAAAACUGUAUAACAUAUGGAUUAUGACAUAGAAUUUCAUGAAUUUCAUGUAACCUUUUGUUAAUA